UACGAAGGGGGCUAGCGUUGCUCGGAAUCACUGGGCGUAAAGGGUGCGUAGGCGGAUUUGUAAGUCAGGGGUGAAAUCCCGGGGCUCAACCUCGGAACUGCCUUUGAUACUGCAAAUCUCGAGUCCGGAAGAGGUGAGUGGAAUUCCUAGUGUAGAGGUGAAAUUCGUAGAUAUUAGGAAGAACACCGGUGGCGAAGGCGGCCCACUGGUCCGGUACUGACGCUGAGGUGCGAAAGCGUGGGGAGCAAACAGG
rnacentral:rRNA from 1 species